UUUAUUUAUUAAUAUGUAGGCUUGUCACUUGUGUGUUGGUUGUUGUCGAGCAUUGGAGGUGGGAAAGAAAUUGAAGACCAAAGACAAUGAUCUUUUGUGGGAAUAUUGUUGAAACAUGGAUGAGAAAAUAAUCUCCACUUAAGAUGUAGCUUUUGUGGGAAGGCAUGUUGGGGAUGUGUGUUUCGAAUGAAACAUCACCUAGCCUGAAUGAAGAAAAAUGUAGCGACAUGUUCCCUAGUCGGUGAUGAUAUAGCGGAAAAAUUCAAGAAUUUGCUAGAUGGUAAUAUUAGUGAGAAGAAGUAACAAGAAGAAAUGACGUAUGAUGUUGAAAGGGUUCCUAUUAUUAAUGAUGUAGAUGAAAUGGGUGGAGGAAAAAGAAAAGGAAUUAUGGAUAGAAAGAAUGGGCCAAAAGAAAAACAACAAACCAUUCUAAAUAAAAUUGAAAAGAAAGAAAAUCGAGACAGUGUGUGCGUAUCUAUUUCUCCUUUCCUAUAUGUGAAUGCUCUAUCGUUUAACUUUGUAAAGAGUUCAUUUUUUGCACUUAUGAUGGAAGCGGUUGCUUCAUUUGGGUCAGGAUUGAAGCUUCCGUUGUAUCUUGAAGCAAGGAAUAAAUUUUUGAAGAUGGAGGUUGGGUUGAUAGAGAAAUCUAUUGACAUUUAAGGAAUGAGGAAAGACUGGAUGCACAAUAAUGUCAGAUGGGUGGAUUGAUAGAGUGAAUCGGUCUAUUACAAUUUUUUUGGUUAAUAGUCCAAGAGGUACUACAUUUUUUAGAUCUGUUGAUACGUCCGAUUUUUCAAAAAAUGCCGACAAUUCGUUGGGCUUACUUAAGUUGGUUAUUGAUGAAGCGGGUGAAGAGAACGUAGUACAAGUAGUUAUGGAUAGCGUAUCCGCGUAUGUGAAGACAAGCUAGAUGUUAGUGAAAAAGAGGAAGACAUUGUUUUAGUCUCCAUGUGUGUCCCGUUGUAUAGACUUGAUGCUUGUAGACAUUGGAAAAUUGCAAGUUCAUUUGGAGACAAUGGCGAAAGAAAGGGCGAUAACGGUAUAUAUUUACAAAUAUUGUUGGAUCUUAAAUUUAAUGAGGAAACACACAAAUGGGGAAUUGACUCGAUUGGCCGUAACAUGGUUUGUUGCGUGUUAAAUGACUUUUGAAAAACUUCCGUGAAAAUAGAAUUGGCUUGAGGUCGAUGUUUACUUCAAAAGUAUGGGAAGGUAGCAGCUUUUCCAAGACCGCAAAGGGAAAGCAUGUUUAAGACAGUUUUGACCAAUGUAGAUUUUAGGCAAUCUAUCAAGUUUUGCUUGAAGACCACUCUCUCAUUGGUCAAGGUGCCACGGAUAGUUGAUUCAACCAACCAUGUGAUAUAUUUAUGAAGCAAUGGAUCGGACGAAAGAGGCUAUAGCAAAAUAUUUGGGAGAAUUGAAGAAGCAAUAUUCUACCAUAUAGGAAAUCAUAAACCAACAGUGGAAUCUUCAGUUGCAUUGGCCCUUACAUGUGGCUGCUUAUUUCUUAAAUCCUAAAUUCUAGUAUGAUGGUAAUUUUCGUUUGGAUUUAAAGAUUAAAAUUGGCCUGUAUUACUGUAUUGAAAGAAUGGUCCCAGAUUCAAGGAAAAUGGUCAUCAUUGAUGAGCAGAUGGAUGAGAGCCUAUAGUUUAUUUGAAGAGAGACGAAAAAGUUAAACUAUAAUGACAAAGCAACUAGAUAAUUUUAGUUACAAUUAUUUUACUUCUUUGAAUUUGAUGGUGUGCCUAUGGUUUAUUAAUUAGUUUAUUUAUAUAAUUAUAUGUAAUUGGUUUUUUAGGUUUAUGGUGAAAGAGUUAUGGAGACGAGUGUCGAGAAUUGCAAAAGUUGGUUAUUCGUAUUUUGAGUUUGACAUGUAAUGCUACUGGUUGUGAGCGCAAUUGGAGAAAUUUUGAGUAGGUAUGGAAUCUAGCGAUGAAUGGAUAUAAAGAAAGAGGAUCUUGCAGAUCCUAUAGAUAACACUUGGAUGGACAUAGGUGAAUGUUUUACCAAAGGAUUGGAGGAUGUGCAAGGUGUAGGCGGAUCCACGUCAAGACUAAAUGAACGACAUGGUAUGAUUGCAUGUCGUAUGACUCAUAUUCGUAUUAUUUAGUUUUGUAGCCUUAUAACUAUUAAUUAAUAGUCUUACAUAUGCACUAUGCAAAAACUAUUUUGUGGGUCCUAAAAAACAUUGAUAUUCGAAGUAAAGCGAAUGGAAAAGCGAAAGCGGGAGAAGAGGAGGAAGAUGAGUUUAUUUUGACAUCAAAUUGUAAAGAUGAAGAUGAUGUUGAUAAUGCUGACCUCAUUGGUAAUGAGGAGGAGAAUGAUGAUGGCGCAGCAGGCGAAGAAUAGAUUCGUUUGGAAUUUUUAUUUUCUUUUUGACUAAUAGAAACAAGUGAAUAGAGAAUACAUUAUACAUAUAAAUGGGGAUAGAAAAAUGUUAUUUUUUGAAUCAUAUAGAAAACGUACAUGUACAUGAGAUGGGAAAAGGGGUUUUUUU